AAGGGACAGGGGGUGCGGGGCGGGGGGGGUACGAUGUUCUACACGGAAGUGCCUCAGGCCUGCGUUGCUGGAAUGAAGCACAUCAACUUGUCGUUUGCAGCGUGUGGGUUUCUGGGCAUUUACCACUUGGGGGUAGCAUCCGCACUUUGCAAACACGGCAAAAAGCUCCUGAAGAAUGUCAAGGCCUUUGCCGGGGCUUCUGCAGGAUCCUUGGUUGCUUCUGUCCUGCUAACAGCGCCACAAAAAAUAGAGGAAUGUAACGAGUUUACCUACAGUUUUGCCGAAGAAAUCCGAAGGCAGACUUUCGGGGCAGUGACACCGGGCUAUGAUUUCAUGGCCCGACUGAGGAGCGGAGUGGAGGCGAUUCUCCCUCCCAACGCGCACGAGCUGGCUCACGACCGCCUGCACGUCUCCAUCACCAACACCGAGACCAGAGAAAACUGCUUAGUCUCCAGUUUUCCCUCCCGGGAGGACCUCGUUAAGGUCCUGUUAGCCAGCAGCUUCGUGCCCGUUUACGCAGGACUAAAGCCCGUGGAAUACAAAGGGCGGAAGUGGGUAGACGGAGGCUUUACCAACAGCCUGCCCCUCCUGCCCGUAGGCCGGACAGUGACCAUCUCACCGUUUAGCGGGCGAAUGGACAUCUCCCCGCAGGGCAAAGGGCAGCUGGAUUUCUAUGUGACCAUCACCGAGCAGGACAUACUGCGUCUUCUAAAUGCAGCAUGGUGAACCGCGGGAGAUAAGACUAGGGCAUGUCCUGGAAAUAAGCUUGUGCUGGCCUGGCCGGCCUGAGGACCGUGUGAGGACUCCCUGAAUGGUGGAAAGACACUGAUGAUUCCUGAGUGUGGAAGGAGGAAGGCGUCACAGUGACAUUUCAGGAAGAACAACGGGACCAAGUUACCCUUGGGCCCCCAAAGGCAACGGACAGUGCGUGUGUCUCUGAGCCCACAAUGAGCUGAAGGGAGACGGCCCAGCCUGCAGGGGCUGCAACGUGCCUCCUGGCCACUGCAGCCCAAGACGUUCCUCACUUCAUGGCUCUACUACAGCUGGAUGAAAUCUGCAGAGAAAAUAAGCACGCACCCCCCAAACUAGGCACCCGAGAGUCUUAGAACACACUUAGGUGAGAGCCCCUCACGGCCCUCUGAGGCAGCCGGACUCUGAGCCCCCACGUCUGCAUGCAGGUUGGAGCGCUGGCACCCAGGAAGGCUGAGCUCCUGCCCCACCCCUGCUCUCCAGCAAUGGGGAGCUUCUCUGCUGCUGGGAGCCCCCAGCAAUAGCUGCCUGCUGUUUCCAAACCUGCCAGCCCUUAUUCCACAGUCUCACGGAUAAACACGUUACAGUUCAGAUACUGUUGGGAAUUCUGCUCCUGGCCUCUGAGCUUUGCAACGACUAGCUUCCGACUGAGGUUAGCACUCCCGUCCCUACACCCUCGGUGACUGGAUUUAAUAACCGUCGCGCCCUCAUUUUGCUCCCACCCUCGACCCUCUGGCUUUCCUGGGUAGCGUGUCCCGCAGCUGCCCUCAUUCCUCCAUUUCCUCUUGAAGCCUGUGAGCUCCUUCACCACGGAUGUCUUCCCGUGUGUUAGAACACGUCAUUUCAAUCCCCAGAACAUCCCACUGAAAAGUAAGCAGAGCCAAACGACAGUUUAAAUGUGGGCAUUGCUUUUUCCCUUUCAAUCGAUGGACAGUAUGCCUCGAUUCUGUAGUUUCCCCCAGAUUAUAAAUUGCAAAGCAAUCA